rnacentral:lncRNA from 1 species
AUGAAACCCACCCAAACCCCUCGCACCGCUCCCUGCCCAGCUGCACCUUCAGCACCGGUGCGAGCAGCCCAGCCUGUGCCGCCACCGGGAGCCCUCAUUUCAGGGGUGAUUCUGCAUUACCUGCUCCUCCGGGGGAGAGGGCGAUUUCAGUUUUUCCUACCCAAACGCUCGCUGAGAGGUGCACGGGAUUUACAGCACGGGAUGCGGUGCGGGCGGCAGUUCUUUUUUAGCUGCUUCACCCUCGCUCCUGCUGCAUCCGAAAGCAUAAAACAUCCCCUGCUCCCCACGCCUCCAGCACCUUUCUGCACCGCGUGUUUACGCCUGCUUUUAUCAACAUCCCCCCCGGUUCUCUCCCCGAGGACCACACACACCGAGACGCAUAACCGGGCGGAAAGAAGUUGGGUUUGGGUCGCUGCCGGUCUUUUUCUUUUUUUUUCUUUUUUUUUUUUUUUUUUGGGGGGGGGGGGAGGCAAAUUGGCGCUGCCCGCUCCCCGCGGGGAGCAGCCCCCCCGGGGCAGCCCCCUGCCCGCUCGCUACUCACCGGCCGCUCACAAACUUCCCCCGCCUCGCCCCGCUGCCGCUGCCGCCUCGGCCGCCGCCCGCCCCGCCUCGGGCGCCAUCGGCCCCACCGGGGCACGGCGGCGCCGGCGGGCACGGCGCUGCCUCGGCCGGGCCGGUGCCGACUCGCGGGCAGGGAGCGGAGCCGCCGCGCCGAGCGCCGCCGCCCUCCUCCUUCCCCCCUCCACCUCCCCGGAGGGCGGGCGGGCAGAGCGGGGCCGCCCCUCACCGCCGCCGGGCCAGGACUCACUUUGCUGCACCCCCCCCCUCCGCCUGCCCUCAGCGGCUUCUUCCUCCUCCUCCUCCUCCUCCUCCUCCUCCUCCUCCUCCUCCUCCUCCCCCUCCUCCCCCUGCCAUGGCCGCGGCAGCCCGCCGUCAGCCGCGGGGGGGACGGGCGAGGGAGCGGGGCCGGCGGCGGGCGGGGGGGGGCAUGGCCGCGGGGAGGGGCCGGCGGCGGGGCCCCGGCAGCGGCGAUGGCCGCCGGGGCGGUGA